ensembl:lncRNA
GGACAAGAUUGAGAUUGCCAUUCUUACGGUCUUUCCAUAGUCUCCCCUUGCAAUUAGAAUUGACCAUCACUGGGGACCUCAUCUAUUAGAUGAAGGAUGUCUAGAAAGCCUCUGGACAGGCAGCAUGGCAGAAAUCAACUCUUUCAAAAAAAAAAAAAAAAAAAAAAAAAAAAAAAAAAAAAAAAAAAAAAAAAGGCCUGCUGCUGACACUGGAUAGAGCACAAACAAGCUCUCUGUCUGACUCCUUCAGCUCUUGCAUAUCCCCUUGGCUAACAUUUCAGAGCUUCUGAUUCUUCAGACAUCAGCUUUUUGAUACUGAAGAGAUUGUUCUACCUGAUGAGCCCAGGCCUAGAAGAUGGACUACAUCCAAGAAGCCUGGCCCAUCUAAGGCCAAGUCACAUCUUUAAGAAAUAUUUGAAAGCAUUUGUGCACGGGAUAAAGGUGCAAGGACCAAAGUCUCCUUAGACAUUCCAGCCUACAGAG